GGUAACUGGACUUCUUACGUUAAAAAAAAAUUGCUCUCUCAAAAAAGGGUAAAGACAAAUAGAAAACUGUGAAAUGCCACAAGCUGGUCUAUUUUGGGAACCACCUAUAGGAACAGAUCCAUUCCUGAAAAAAAAAAGUGUCUAUGAACUUACUUAUUGAGCGCCUCCUUUCACGUGCCACCCCAAAGAAUUUCCUUUGUGUGAGUUCACGAAUGGCAGGCUGCUGUCUUAUCAAGGCUUAAGAGCUAGUGCCACGCCAAACUUGGGAGUCUUAUCCAAGGCUUUGGUGUCGAAUUCACUAGAAAUGGUCAACAAUGACUUUGGAAUCACCUCAUGCUGCAACACAGCCCCCAAACUUCCAUGAUUGUUGAGCUUGAGUUUCACAAUUGUCAAGCAAUCCACAGCAUAGGACCCUCCAACUGUAAAUGUGUUCUCAUUUGUGGAGAAUCGUCUAGUGAUUUCACCUGUAGCAGCUGUCGUCUUCAGUGCAUCCAUAUGAUGUAUAUACGAUGCCUUUAUGGUGUCCCCUUUGUCUCCUAAGAUUAUAGCAGCACAGGAAUCUGGUUUUGUCACGCUAAUGCCAGCAGUAUACUUUGUUAGUUUACUUGUUGCAGUCUCAUAACUUGCCUCUGCACCAAGAGCAAAAGUUGGAGUACCAAGUGUGAUUGAAAGAUCUACUGCAGGACAUUGUUUCAGAGCAACAGCAGUGGUGAAGGUUGCGUGAUGGUGAAAAUAUUGAGUCUCUAGCCUGCCAGAACUGUAGUCAGGGAAUUUC
rnacentral:misc_RNA from 1 species